rnacentral:lncRNA from 1 species
AGAAUGGCAAAGGAAAGGCUGGGGACUUCAUGGUUGCAAUGCCCUCUUCUCCCCUGCCAAGAUUUGUUCAUGAGUUGAUGCUGCCCUUCAAACAUACGAGCAAAGGAGCAAGCUUUUAUUGGUGUCUGGUUCGCUGAUGCUAGACGCACCUCAGAUUUCUAUUAUUCUUCUUCUUUCGGAGAGGAUAUAUAUGGUGAGAAA